rnacentral:lncRNA from 10 species
UUAAUGAAACUACAUUAAAGAGAUAAAAGAGCCUGGGUGCGGUGGCUCAUGCCUGUAAUCCCAACACUUUGGGAGGCCAAGGCACGCAGAUCACUUGAGCGCAGGAGGUUUUUGUUUGUUUGGUUGGUUUUUUUUUUUUUUUUUUUUUUGAGACAGAGUCUGGCUCUGUUGCCCAGGCUGGAUGGAGUGAAGUGGUGUGAUCCUGGCUCACUGCUACCUCUGCCACCCAGGUUCAAGCAAUUCUCCUGCCUCAGCCUCCCAAGUAGCUGGGAUUACAGGCAUGCGCACCAUGCCCAGCUAGUUUUUGUACUUUUAGUAGAGACGGGGUUUCACCAUGUUGUCCAGGCUGGUCUUGAAACUCCCGACCUCAAGUGAUCCGCCCACCUCGGCCUCCCAAAGUGUUGGGAUUACAGGCGUGAGCCACCGUGCUUGGCCAGGAUCCAAUCACACCACUGCACUCCAGACUGGGCAACAGAGCGAGCCUAUCUCAAAAAAACAAAACAAAAAAAAUCCUCAGCUGUAAAACUCAGGGAACAAAAAAAAUUCUGAAAAACAGUACACAAUUGAUUACACAAGUAUUCAGUGAGUUGAUCAGAACAUACUGAAAUAUUUCAAAAUAUUACCUGGUCACUGCUACUUAUCCCUUCCCCUUCCUUCCAAUGUGCACAUGAGCACUCAAGUGCUCAACUUCAGGUAUAGGAAAAGAAGUUAACGUUCUCAUGAAAACACUGAAGGCCCUUAAAGACCUAAACUAGGAUGAGUAAGAUUUAAAAAACAUGUGUGUGACUAGACCGUAAGAAUCAGGAAAUGUUAUUAUAAAAAUGAAACCUUAGCAUUGUUCUGAAAUAUUUCAUAAUUUUCUAAAAGAUAACAAUAGAUAAUGCUAAUCAGAGAAUACUAUGCUUAAGAGAAUCCUGGUAUCCUCUGCUAAGUCAAAAGGACUGGAUACAAAAUGCAGGCA